GCGCAGCAGUCGCGAAACCUUUGCAAUGCGCGAAAGCGUGACAAGGUGACUCCGAGUGCUCAUGCGUAAGCAUGAGCUUUUCCCGAGUGUAAACAGCUCGGGGAAUAAGGGCCGGGCAAUACCCGUGCCAGCCGCCGCGGUAAUACGGGAGGCCCGAGUGGUGCCCGCGAUUACUGGGCUUAAAGCGUCCGUAGCCGGUCCGGUAAGUCCUUGGUGAAAGCCCCAGGCUUAACCUGGGGAGGUGCCAAGGAUACUGCCGGUCUAGGGGAGCGGGAGAGGCGAGGGGUACUCCGGGGGUAGCGGUGAAAUGCGUUGAUCCUCGGGGGACCACCGGUAGCGAAGGCGCCUCGCUGGAACGCGUCCGACGGUGAGGGACGAAGGCCAGGGGAGCGACCCGGAUUAGAUA
rnacentral:rRNA from 1 species